UUGCAGCCAAAAGCAUCUCAGAGGGUAUGAUGCAUUUCCUGACUGUGGUCGGCUUUCCAUGGGUGAAACAGAAAAGUCUUCAAAUAUCCUCACCAACUGCUUUCCUAGAUUUUUCAGCCAGUUACUUGACCAUAUUAGGAAAAGAAAGCAUACUACACCCAUCUCAGAGCUGGCCUCUUGAGGUAGCCACACCGCCACAGGAACCAUUGUAAUCUCUGCAUCAAGUUCAAGUUCAC
rnacentral:lncRNA from 10 species